AUACGGAGGUUCCGAGCGUUAUCCGGAUUUAUUGGGUUUAAAGGGAGCGUAGGUGGACAGUUAAGUCAGUUGUGAAAGUUUGCGGCUCAACCGUAAAAUUGCAGUUGAUACUGGCUGUCUUGAGUACAGUAGAGGUGGGCGGAAUUCGCGGUGUAGCGGUGAAAUGCUUAGAUAUCACGAAGAACUACGAUUGCGAAGGCAACUCACUAGAAUGCGACUGACAAUGAUGCUCGAAAGUGUGGAUAUCAAACAAGAUUAGAUACCCUGGUAGUGCACACAGUAAACGAGGAAUACACGCUGUUUGCGAUAUACAGUAAGCGGCCAAGCGAAAGCAUUAAGUAUUCCACCUGGGGAGUACAGCGUCAACGGUGAGACACAAAUGAAUUGACGGGG
rnacentral:rRNA from 1 species